CUUUGAUUUGUCUCCAUUACUCUGUCGGCACUUUUUUACUUUCUGGCAGAAGAUGUUCUAAGCUCAGCUUGUAUUUUCUCUGCGCCAGCUCUGGAAUGAGUCAUUUUUUUUAGAAGCAGAGGUGGAGCCACUGAGGAAGCACAGAAUGUCACUGUUGCUGAGUCCCCAUCGCCUCUGUGUUGUGGAGCAGUUAGAGACACACAGCAGUGUCUGUGAGUAGCUCUGCGUGAAGGACCAUUUUCUAGAUGAGAGGCACAUCUCAACACAGCUCACUGAUCAGAUUCAGGUGAGUGGGACCUGCUCUUUUCUCUUCCUUCUGGCUUGGGAAAAGUCACUAUCAGGUGGAUGGUUUUGGUCUCUGGGCAGCUACUGAGGGUAAUCCCUGAACACUCACCAGCUGCCUGUUAUGUGCUGACAGUCAUCUCAUUCAUCCUCGCAGCAAUUCCAUUCUGCAUCUUUUCUGAUCACCUCCGUGACCACACAGGACAACCCCAUCAGGGCCCUGUCACCAGGCCCAGUCUAGCUCCAUGAUAACCAAGACACAGGCCCAGAGACAAUCGUCCUACAUUGUGCCUGCAUCUGACACCCCUUGGUAGGUAGUGACCAGCACAACAUGGAAGAAGCCAGGGCAGCAUGCAGCCAGCUGCUCUGCAGCCCCAAAUGGCUCCUGGGCCUUGGGAAGUCACUCAUAAAGGGGAAGCUGGUCACUUUGAGGUCCCUGAAGGGAAGGGUGAACGUGCAUCCCAACAGCCCUGGCAGCCAGCAGCAUGCCAUACAUAUUCUCACCCAACGUGUGUGACAGAGGUCCCCUCCUGGGGCACAAGUCCCAUACCUAAAGCAUCCUGUCCCAGUCGGACCUCAUCCUGAGCCCUGGGAGGGGAGGGGGACCAUGGGCCCCCCUGCAGCAGCCAGGAUUACCACCCAGGGGACUCGGCCUUCUGUGGCCCUGGCCAGACUUAGAAUUUGGCCCAAGACAAACUUACUCGGAGCAGCUUCUCAGUACCUGGGGCCUGUGCAUACCAGGCAAGGCCAAGCUGGCUCAAAGAGCAACCAGCCACCUCUGCAAGGGUAUGCCAGUAGCAGGUGGAGCAGUCACCAACCUCACGCACUCAAGGAAACAGGGAUGGCCAGUUUCCCACAGUCUGAGUGACCACCACCUGACAGCUGAUGGAGUGGAGGCCUGAGGAAAAGCAGAUGGCACUGGGGCUCCACCUCCAGGGCAGAAUAACUGAUUUACCCUGACUGGCAGGGAGUGACGUUGGUGGCUGGUCCACUGGCUCCUGGCACACCCUUGCAGAGGUGGGUGGUUGCUCUUUGAGCCAGCUUGGCUUUGCCUGGCAUGCACAGGUCUCAGUGCAACAAAUGUGCUGCAAAUGGAGCCACAUAGAGGAAAUGAGCAGCAGGCUCAGAACUGGGGUGUGUGCCGCCUUUGGGGCUCCAGUCCAAGCAUCGGGGCUUCUACAGCACUGUGGGCUUCUCGGGUGCCAAGAGGCAGACCACAGGCCAUCUUGAGGAGGACUCUGGUAAGAGCUUCCUUGUGUACGUGGAUGAUGUCCAGAAUGUUGACCUGGUGUCCCUGAGACAGCACUAACAGGUCCAUGACUGGGUCCAGAUCCUGCCUGGGCUGAUGGGCAAAGAGCUCACUGACAGUGUGGAAGGCAUCUAUGGUGAAGUGGAUCUAUGUUCAAGUGCAGAAAGGGCCCAAUCUUGCAGAUGAACCACACAGCCAGCUUCUGGAUGCAGGUGCAGUGCCACAUUUUUUGUCACUU
rnacentral:lncRNA from 1 species